rnacentral:rRNA from 1 species
AGAAUCAACGCUGGCGGCGUGCCUAACACAUGCAAGUCGAACGCGACUGGGGACUUCGGUUCCCAGUUGAGUGGCGAACGGGUGAGUAACACGUGGGUGAUCUACCUUCGAGUGGGGGAUAACGUUCCGAAAGGAACGCUAAUACCGCAUGACGUUCUGGGUUUGAAGACCUGGAAACCAAAGCCGGGGACCGCAAGGCCUGGCGCUUGGAGAGGAGCCCGCGUCCGAUUAGCUAGUUGGCGGGUAACGCCCACCAAGGCGACGAUCGGUA